AGAUUGAACGCUGGCGGCAGGCCUAACACAUGCAAGUCGAGCGGUAGAGAGGUGCUUGCAUCUCUUGAGAGCGGCGGACGGGUGAGUAAUGCCUAGGAAUCUGCCUAGUGGUGGGGGAUAACGUUCGGAAACGGACGCUAAUACCGCCUACGUCCUACGGGAGAAAGCGGGGGACCUUCGGGCCUCGCGCCAUUAGAUGAGCCUAGGUCGGAUUAGCUAGUUGGUGAGGUAAUGGCUCACCAAGGCGACGAUCCGUAACUGGUCUGAGAGGAUGAUCAGUCACACUGGAACUGAGACACGGUCCAGACUCCGUACGGGGGCAGCAGUGGGAAUAUUGGACAAUGGGCGAAAGCCUGAGUCCAGCCAUGCCGCGUGUGUAGAAGAAGGUCUUACGGAUUACGUAAAGUCAACGUUUAAGGUUGGGAGGUAAGGUUAGUAACCUAAGUUACGUUGCUAACUUUAGACGUUACCGAC
rnacentral:rRNA from 1 species